UUGUCUUGUAAAUGGAAUGAUGGAAAUUUAAACACUUUUUAAAGUAUCAAUUGGAGGGCAAGUCUGGUGCCAGCAGCCGCGGUAAUUCCAGCUCCAAUAGCGUAUAUUAAAAUUGUUGCAGUUAAAAAGCUCGUAGUUGAAUUUCUGCUAAAAAUAACCGGUCUGCUUUUUUAUGAAAGUGGUAUCUUGGUGUGUUUUUAGCAAUAAUGUCCUUUGAAAUGGUUUUUACUUUAUUGUAAAAAGCAAUAUUCAGGAUUUUUACUUUGAGAAAAUUAGAGUGUUUCAAGCAGACUUACGUUUUGAAUACUGCAGCAUGGAAUAAUAAAAUAGGAUUUUAGUUCUACUUUGUUGGUUUAAAGAACUAAAUUAAUGAUUGAUAGGGACAGUUGGG
rnacentral:rRNA from 1 species